rnacentral:rRNA from 1 species
AUGCAAGUGCACACAGGGUUGGGGAGGAAACCAGAUGGAACCAUUGAUGCCGACUAUGACUUCUGGAUAACACACACAGAGAAACGAUACCUAAGGAAGUUGCAGUGGGGUCCUCCAGCAAACGAGGAGUUGCUUGAUCAACUGUUCAGAGGUUGCAUCGUGGAUGGAAGCACAACCUUUGUCCCUGGAGAUGAUUAUGGUCAGAAUCAAGGGCAAGAUGCAGGGGCAGAAGAGGAAGAAGAGGAGUUUCAAGGAACACCUACAAGUACAAGCAACUAG